GAGAUACGAUGAUUUCAUUAUUUGGUCCGUGUUUCUGAACUUAACCUGACUGAUAAACCCUUUCCAAAACUCUGAUCUC